ACAAACUUGGUCAUUUAGAGGAAGUAAAAGUCGUAACAAGGUUUCCGUAGGUGAACCUGCGGAAGGAUCAUUAUUAUUUGGACUGAAGUCUAGUUUUAAGGUCCGAUUUUAAAGAACUAGACUUCUCACCAAAUAUCACAAUUUCUCUUCUAUUUAUACCGCAAGGUAUGAAUAAAGGAGCAAGAUGAACUUUUAUAUUUAAAACCCCACUCUUUAAACGACAUAUUAUUAUAUGAAUCAUUAAAAAAAAGAUCACUUUCAACAACGGAUCUCUUGGCUCUCGCAUCGAUGAAGAACGCAGC
rnacentral:misc_RNA from 1 species